CGUAGGGUGCGAGCGUUAAUCGGAAUUACUGGGCGUAAAGCGUGCGCAGGCGGUUAUGUAAGACAGGGGGGAAAUCCCCGGGCUUAACCUGGGAACUGCAUUUGUGACUGCAUAGCUAGAGUACGGUAGAGGGGGAUGGAAUUCCGCGUGUAGCAGUGAAAUGCGUAGAUAUGCGGAGGAACACCGAUGGCGAAGGCAAUCCCCUGGACCUGUACUGACGCUCAUGCACGAAAGCGUGGGGAGCAAACAGG
rnacentral:rRNA from 1 species